CCGUAUGCAGGGGGACAACAGUCAGAAAUGACUGCUAAUACCGCAUAAGCACACAAUGCUGCAUGGCAUGGUGUGAAAAGAUUUAUCGGCAUACGAUGGCCCCGCGUCUGAUUAGCCAGUUGGCAGGGUAAUGGCCUACCGAAGCAACGAUCAGUAGCCGGCUUGAGAGAGUGACCGGCCACAUUGGGACUGAGACACGGCCCAGACUCCUACGGAAGGCAGCAG
rnacentral:rRNA from 1 species